rnacentral:rRNA from 1 species
CCUACGGGUGGCAGCAGUGGGGAAUAUUGGACAAUGGGCGCAAGCCUGAUCCAGCAAUGCCGCGUGAGUGAAGAAGGUCUUCGGAUUGUAAAGCUCUUUCGGCGGGGACGAUGAUGACGGUACCCGUAGAAGAAGCCCCGGCUAACUUCGUGCCAGCAGCCGCGGUAAUACGAAGGGGGCUAGCGUUGUUCGGAAUUACUGGGCGUAAAGGGCGCGUAGGCGGCUGACACAGUCAGAUGUGAAAUCCCCGGGCUCAACCUGGGGGCUGCAUUUGAUACGUGAUGGCUAGAGUGCGGUAGAGGGACGUGGAAUUCCACGUGUAGAGGUGAAAUUCGUAGAUUACGCGACGAACACCCGAUCUGAUGGCGGCGUUAUGUGACGCAACAAACUCGGAGGCGUGAAUGCUUGGCGAGAUCACAGGAUUAGAUUCAUCAAAAGUC